rnacentral:snRNA from 1 species
AUACUUACCUGGCUUGGGAGACACUACAAUAAGGCAGCUGGUUUUCCCAGUGUGAGGCUUAUCUCCUGCACUCCAGGUGCACUGGCACUUUCGAUUUCCCCAAAGGUGUGAAGCUCUACAA